CGCUGGUCUUUAUUAGACUGUAAAUCAUCUGGAGCAAUCAGUUGAAAAAUAUCUGUAAAAUAUUUAGAAAGCAUUUUGUUUUGAGGAGAGGGAUGAAGAUAGCCCUCACAUUUACUUAACACAGCAUAUUUACUUUAAAAAAAAUAAUAUAAGCAGCAGAUUUCACAGUCACAUUGAUAUGGUUUAGAAAACAAUCAUUUUGUUCAACCUGUACAUAUAGCACUGCAUGUCUGGCACACACAUUGAGACAGACAUGUUCACAAUUCACUUAGGACAUCUUGCAAAAGCAAUUCAUCUGCACAUUUUGUCCUGCUCUUAAAGGAUUUGUAUAGCUGUACACUGUUCAUUGAAGAUGCCAGCUGAAUCAUUUCAUAUGAUCUAUUAUGAUAGGUUUGCUUAUCCUGAAACCCUGCACAGCAGCUGGAAUGCAGAAUUAAGUUUUGAA